rnacentral:rRNA from 1 species
GACGAACCGUGCGGACGUUGUUCGGAAUCACUGGGCUUAAAGGGCGCGUAGGCGGCUUGCCAAGUCAGUGGUGAAAUCCCACAGCUUAACUGUGGAAGUGCCUUUGAUACUGGCGAGCUCGAGGGAGGUAGGGGUAUGUGGAACUUCUGGUGGAGCGGUGAAAUGCGUUGAUAUCAGAAGGAACGCCGGUGGCGAAAGCGACGUACUGGACCUCUUCUGACGCUGAGGCGCGAAAGCUAGGGGAGCAAACGGG